rnacentral:lncRNA from 1 species
UCCACUGUUUUACAUAUUGCUAUACUAGUGUCUGUUGUAUUCUGCUGCCUUUCCUAUCCUCUACUAUCCCCCAUCCCCUCCCCUCCCCUCUUCUCUCUCUACCCCAUCUACUGUAAUUCAUUUCUCCCCCCUUGUUUUUUUUUCCCUUUCCCCUCACUUCCUCUUGUAUGUAAUUUUGUAUAACCAUGAGGGUCUCCUUCCAUUUCCAUACAAUUUCCCUUCUCUUUCCUUUUCCCUUCCACCUCUCACCCCUGUUUAAUGUUUUUUUUUUUUUUUGAUGGAUAUAUCAAUUAGCGUUUGAUUUAAUCAUUUUGUACUGUGUAUGUAUAUCAAAAUAUCACAUUGUACCUCAUAUAAUUAUGACUCAUCAAUUAAUAUUAAUUUUAAUGAAUAGUACCUACUAAUACUACCUAAUUUGUGUGAUUACUGUGGAGAUUAAAAAAAAUAAACAGGAAGUGUUUAGCAGAGUGCCUGUUAUAAUCUCAUAAGUAUUCAAACCCUUUAGAUCCCUCCUUUCCCAAUUCCGGAAGCAUUCUGAUGAGCUAAAAUUUUUCAUGAGGCCUCUUACAUGAAGCAAAAAAAACUUCAGGCCUUUUAGAAAUUUUUAAUGUAGAGGGUUUUGUGUUUUUUCUGUAGAAGUCUGGAAUGGAUUUAAAACUGAAACUCUAAAUAUUUUGCUGUUUCUAGAAUCCUAAACAUUUAAUCUUAUCAAUAUUGCCAAUUAAGCCAAACACCAAUGAAGCCAUCAAAUCUGCCCUGCUGCUCAUCUUUCACUCUCUUCUUUAUUUAAUGUAUACUUUUAGAAUAAUGAUGUUGACUUCAAAACCGUGAUUCUGAAUGGACCAAGGCUAACAGAUACUGAUAAAAUAAUGCAAACAUCAUUAGUAUUGGGGCUGAAGCUUCCUUCCUACACAAUGCUGGGAGGUUAAUACUUUCUGUGCUUCUAGCCAGUAUGAAUAUUUAUUGGCAUAUAAAGUCAGGUUGAAUAACAUGGAAUGAAAAUAACAUAACACAGACUUUCCCCAUGACCCACCCCUUCUCUUUUUAUAUAUAUAUAUAUUUAUUCCAGAGACUCCCAUUGAGGAAAAAAUUUAACAUAAAGGGAGCCUUUGAAAUAUGAGUUAGUUGACAGAGUGUACUCUAAUUCUAAAUAGAUUAUUACAUUUUAAGAACAAUCCUGGUUAAGCACAUUUUGAUCAUCUCAUUUAUAACAUUUUCCCUUGGUUUUUGUCUUAUUAACCCUAGUACUUGUAUACGUAGCUCUUUUACAACAACUUCAGGUUUUAUUUUACCAUUCAGGAGACAAAUUUGACCACCUUUCAUGUUCUUCAAAUUAAAAUUUCUUGAUUCCUCAUUCAUCAGAAUAACAAGAAUCCAGGAUCUUUUUAAGGUUAUCUUUCUCCAUUAUCUAAGUGUCUGUGUAUUCCCUCAUUCUAGAGAGGCCCGGGUGUGCUUGAGAGCAAAUUAGAGAACCCGGCCACAAGAUGUCCUGGUUUGCAAAUG